UGGGGGAUAUUGCGCAAUGGGGGAAACCCUGACGCAGCAACGCCGCGUGCAAGGAUGAAGGUUUUAGGAUUGUAAACUUGUUUUAUUAAGGACGAAUAAUGACGGUCCUUAAUGAUAUAUGCUCCGGCUAACUACAGUGCCGACCGCCGAGGU
rnacentral:rRNA from 1 species